AAGUGGUUAUUUUUAAGUACUUGAGAGAUGUUUGGGAAUGGGAGGUCACUCAGGUGAAGAGGGAGGUCAAUAAAUAGAAAGAAGGAAAUUAUUUUUACCCAUAGCAGGUAAGGUAUUUUUAGAGCAAUCACCUGAAAGAUCCCUGAACUACGCAGAAUGAUGAGCACUGCUCACACAGCAGCAGUAAUGGGAGCUACAACUGGCACGGAUCCAUGGUCCCCAGCUUAUUUCAAGUGAGAUUUCAGUGUAAUGAUUUUUUUUUUUUCCCCUUUUCGCCCCCCUCCUGUGCUUACUGCCAUGGCUGGGGUUACCUCAAUGAUCUGACUCUCGUAUGGGCAUUUGUGGAAUUUUUCCAUUCUUGCUAUGUGGAUAUUUCCUCUCUUCUUUGGCCUGUGUUUCAUCCAUUUAUCUUGACUGCUCUGCUCUCACUUGUGUGAAAUGGAAGAGACAAAAAGCUGAACCUCCACAGGCAGGUGGGAAAAGGGCUCCUUCCUGCAGGACUUGUGUGUGUUGGUGGUGGGAGGGUGAGACGUCACUGGGUUUUAUUUUCACUUUUGGCCUUUUUGCACACUACCCCACGUGGUUUCACCAAUUUUCAACAUCACACUUUGUCAGCAAGAAGACAGGACCAGCGCCUUCAUUUCUUGUAGUCAAAUUUAGGGGAAGGCAAAUGUCUUUAGAUGAGGAUAAACUUAGAACUUGCAUUCCACAAACAUUCCUCAGGGAUGUCAUAGACAGGACCACCAGCCUGAGUGUGCAAAGAACAGUAUUUGAUCUCCAGCCUUCUUAGAAGGGGCCAAAUCCUCCAAGUGAGGAAGGUGUCUCAGUGUAUCCCUCAACCUGAAUUGGUAUUUUUUUCCUCUCAGACGCCGGGCUUUUGAGUAAUUCAGUACAUUGAUGUAUUUCUGCUGUAUGGGGGAAGCAGCUGCUUGAGAGGCAUUUUCCUAUCUUGCAUUAUCUGCAACCUUGAGCUGGAUGUCUUGCUGCAUCCUCCCUGGCCACUCCAUUGAAGACGGUGCUGCUUUGCCUUUGUGGUUUUCCCAAGUGAGGGCAGUGAAAGGGCAUUUUUUCUUUCAAGGAUCAGAGCAAAACAAGGAAGAUGCCAAAUGAUAAAUAUUUGACUUUCGAAGAUGAAAAAAGGAAGAGCAGCAUCAAGGGAAUCAAUCUCUUGGGAUGUCCUGUGGUCUGAAUGUACAUUUUGUAUCGCUGAGGUAGGAGCUGGGGAUGCAGAGUGUAAAAAUGUGAGUUUUACAAGGAAAAAGAAUCAUCCAGGAGACCUCUGGGAAAUCACAGGAUGUGUGUACACCUUAUGGUUUGUACAAAAUUAAAUGUUUUUUUCCUCUCAGAGAUAUUGAUCCUUGCUCUUUUAUUAUCAUGAUUAUGUUUUUUUUCCACUUGCUUCGUUUUCCAUAUCCCUGUCUUUCAGAUCCCUUGUUUGAGUUGGUCCUAUUUAUCUGAACCAGCACUGUUCUGCUUGGCCAGAUGAGCUGCUGUUCUGCUCCAAGGCCUUGCACCCAGGGAAGUCGCAUCCCAUGAGAGAGAUGACUUUUUGGAGCAUCACCUCAUUUCCUGAUAGCUCUUAAUCGCUAUCAGAACAGACUUUACAUAUGUCACAACCACAAACCCUGCUACAUGUUCCCGUCUCCUCUGCGCUGUGCCACUUAUGGACCACAAUCCUGGGAAAUCAUAGGAAGUGCUGUGUGAUGCCUUCGGCCUCAGCUAUGGGGAAUGUGAUGCACACCAGUGCUGACAGACUGGCUGGAAGACUGAGGUGUGGGACAAACACUUGGUGCAAACCCAUGAGCUUCACACAGCCCAGCCUGAUCUGAAUCAGCACGUGUGGUGAGACACUGGAACAGGUUGCCCUGUGAGGUUGUGGAUGCUCCCUACCUGGGAGCGCUCAGGGCUAGGCUGGAUGGGGCUGUGAGCAACCUGGUCUAUGAAAGGUGUCCCUGCCUAUAACAGGGGGGUUGAAACUAGAUGAGUGUAAAUGUCCCUUCCAACCCAAACCAUUCUAUGAUUAUAGCUGUGUAGACAGGAGACAGAGCAAUCAUGGAUCAAUCCUUCCUCCCAGCAGCUCCCAGGCUCUCUCAGGAGCACUAAGAGUGGUCUGCGUGUACUCAGCAAGGCCAACUUUUCACACCCCAUUAGCCCAGAUGUGAUGAACCUCACUUUCCACAGCCAAUUCUGCUGAUGGAGCUGACCAAGAUUUUUUUAUUCCCAGCUGAACAGUCUUCUCUUAAAGAAAAGCAAAUUCAGCAAAAUAUAUAUUUUUGUUGACAUUUUUUUUAAUGGGAAAUUAUUGAAACACUUCCAUUUUAGCAUUUGGCCAAUUCUGUCUCAUCUGGCAUGAAGUAAUCAAAAUCCAGCAGAGAAGCCCUCACUGGAAUUACCUCUUUCAAUCAUUUAAUGCAGUUCUCCUUCAAGAAGGCUGUUCUGAGAUUCCCAAGCUGAAAUAGAAUGGGAUGGGAUGUUGCCUCUUACCCUACACUUUGACAGUGCUUUUCAUUUAGCUUUGGGGCUUUCCUCCACAGCACACAAAUAUUGCUCCAGAAAGCUGCAUUUCUAAGGAGGAAGGUUGUCUUGUACCAACUGAAUCAUAGACAGGAUGGUUUGACUCAAGGCAUGUAGGAAUUAACAGUUGCCACAGCAGAGCUCCUCAUGCAGCCAAGGCAAUGCAGAGAGGAGUUGACGAAGGGAGACCUGUCUGGUUUUAUAGUGACAGAUUUCUUUGCAUAAUGCAUUUUGGGUGAAGUUUCAGGUUUAUUUUGUACUUAUCUGAUGUCAGAAGAGUACAUAUUAAGUCUUCAAGGAAAAAAAAAAAGGUUUUCUUAUAAUCAGCUUAUUGCAGCCUUCCAUGUAUAAUAACACAGUUAUAUGGCAGUAAACCUGGAAUCCUACUGGAGUUUGUUGUAAAGUGACAGAUUCAGGUCAAAGCUGUUAAUGAGCAGCCAGGCUGAUGUGUUAUGCAUAAUGAAGAAGAAAAUGACAUUAUUGUUUUACAGGUGAGCUUGGAAAGUUAGGAUAUGCCAGGUCCAUUAGAGCAACUGUGUAUCUUGAAGUUUAAUACCUUGCCUCUGGCCAGUACUUGAUAGUUCAGAAAAACUUGGGCUAUUUUAUUGCUGAUAACUAAAGGCACGCUGUAGAUACGUGGUUUUUGGCUACUUAGCUUCCUCCUCCCUGGCAACAAGCCCUAGAUGUCCCAGUUGACUCUUCUGUAGGUGCAGACUUGGAAGGGUGCUGAUAUGGGGUGGGUGUGACCACUCAGACCCAUAUUUUCUUCCUUGCUCUGCCACAAUGAGACCCAGUGCAGCUGUUUCAAUGUCUGUUCUGUCUUUCUUAUCUGAAAUGAAUGCUUUUUGGGGAAUGUGUUUCUCAUGCCCCUCUUGUCUAGUUGGCUAUUUGUUCCCUAAUGUUUCUUUGUACUUAUUUUCAUUAACUGGAGCCUAUAAUGAAUGCACAAGUAAUACUGGCCUGAAAAGAACAAACAAACAACAGAACAUUGCUCAUCCCUUGAGGAAUAUCAAAGUAGUAAAAAAGCACUUUGGAAAUGGGAAGAGAUGCAAAAAGACAAAAGCAAUCAUUUCUGCUUCAGCAUUUCCUAGGAAGAAAGGGCAGCAAGCAAAUACCCUAACAAACGGAUGACAGGCAGGUCCUCCUCCGUGAGAGUGACCCUUGAAAAAUGAUUGGGAACUUCAGCUGUUGUCACAUGCGUUCUCUUCUUAAUUGGUGCUCUCCUGAGAUGCUUCUUAAAAUGAGGUCUCCUUUCUGCUAUGUCUCUAAAAUGCCAUCCGCUCUGGUGUCUUGGUGCAUGACUGAGGUCUCCUAGUGCCACAUCUGAGAUAUUAAUUCUCAUUAAGAAGUAAUGCAAUUUGUGUCUAUUUGGAUACUUGCUGUGCUUUUCACUGGCUGUUCUGGGUGUGGUGUAAGAGUUCAUAUCUGUCUAAUGCCCACUGCUUGGGAUGACUGAACCCAACACAGGCACUGAAAUUAAUUCAGUAAUUCAGGCUAGCAAGUUGCUUUGGGAUCUCAGCACUCCCAGGCCUUUAUGUCACUGAGAAGUGGGACUCCCAUAGAACUCAACACCCACUACCAGUUAUUGACAACUAGGGAUCUGAGCCAGAAAAAUAUGUUGUCAUGACCUUAACUCACGGUUUUGAAUGGUCCUUUUGGCUUUCAUACAUACACGUGCUCAGUAUUGCAACCCUCAGUGCUCAGCACUAUGCAGGACUGAGCCCCUCACUAAUCCUUCUGAACCCAAGUCUAUUGACUUUCAAAGCAAACCGCAAGGGCUUCUUAUCUACAUUUCCUGAGCAAGCUGCUUGCUUAGGCUGAGCCUUUUGCAUUAGUCUUCACCAGAGUUGAUUUUGAGCAGUGAACAUGAUUAGAUUUUCAUAUCAAGAGAGACUGAAAGUAUGGAGAUGGUUGCCAAAUAUCCAGGAGUAAGUCAGGAGCGAACUCCCUUCUUUCUGUAGUUUGUGAAAGCACAUCAAGAUCAGAAUUAGUGCCUAAUCCCAACCCAGACAAUAUCCAGGUUUUGUUUUCUCACUCUGGAAUGAAACUUAACAGAACCCUGAGCCUGAGUGUCUUAGGAAGCAUGAAAACCAGAUCUCAGUUGUUAGCUGCAUGACAUUUGUAUAAUCUGAUCCUGUCAUCACAUUGCAGAACAAGAUUCAGCCCUAAAUUACACCACAACCCAACUCAGACAAGCUGCAUGUUGUCAAGAAGCCUGUCCCAGAAAACAGGCUGAAAUAAGGAUUGUUUUGCCUUUAGAAUAUUUCUGUUGCUGGCUUCUCUUUGCACCAAAAUCAGGCAAAGGCAGUGCUUUCAGGCUUGACCUGAGUGUUUGGGGUGUUUUAAGAUUAACGCUAAAUCCAUGCCAUGGUAGCACAUUGUUGUGUAUCUUUGUUGAGGUCACUACUAGUGCCUGUGAGAGUGGGGGCAGCAAAGCUGUCAGGGAAAAUAAAAGCACCUCCUGUCCUGAUGUCUCUCCUGUUGAUAUAAUGAUCUGAUGGCUGAGACUAAAAAAAUGAUGAAAUAUUC